rnacentral:rRNA from 1 species
AGCGGCGAGCGAACGGGGAGCAGCCCAGAGCCUGAAUCAGUAUGUGUGUUAGUGGAAGCGUCUGGAAAGGCGCGCGAUACAGGGUGACAGCCCCGUACACAAAAAUGCACAUGCUGUGAGCUCGAUGAGUAGGGCGGGACACGUGGUAUCCUGUCUGAAUAUGGGGGGACCAUCCUCCAAGGCUAAAUACUCCUGACUGACCGAUAGUGAACCAGUACCGUGAGGGAAAGGCGAAAAGAACCCCGGCGAGGGGAGUGAAAAAGAACCUGAAACCGUGU